UACGUAGGGCGCAAGCGUUGUCCGGAAUUAUUGGGCGUAAAGAGCUCGUAGGCGGCCUGUUGCGUCCGCUGUGAAAUCCCGGGGCUCAACCCCGGGCGUGCAGUGGAUACGGGCUGGCUGGAGGCAGGCAGGGGAGACGAAUUCCUGGUGUAGCGGUGAAAUGCGCAGAUAUCAGGAGGAACACCGGUGGCGAAGGCGGUUCUCUGGGGCCUGUACUGACGUGAGGAGCGAAAAGCGUGGGG
rnacentral:rRNA from 1 species